AUUGAACGCUGGCGGCAGGCUUAACACAUGCAAGUCGAGCGAGCGGCGGACGGGUGAGUAAUGUCUGGGAAACUGCCUGAUGGAGGGGGAUAACUACUGGAAACGGUAGCUAAUACCGCAUACCAUCAGAUGUGCCCAGAUGGGAUUAGCUAGUAGGGGGGGUAAUGGCUCACCUAGGCGACGAUCCCUAGCUGGUCUGAGAGGAUGACCAGCCCCACUGGAACUGAGACCCGGUCCAGACUCCUCCGGGAGGCAGAAGUGGGGAAGAUUGCACAAUGGGCUCAAGCCUGAUGCAGCCAUGCCGCGGGGGUGAAGAAGGCCUUCUGUUUGUAAAGCACUUUCAGCGAGGAGGCGUUACUCGCAGAAGAAGCACCGGCUAACUCCGUGCCAGCCGACGCGGUAAUAC
rnacentral:rRNA from 1 species